rnacentral:rRNA from 1 species
GAUGAACGCUGGCGGCGUGCCUAAUACAUGCAAGUCGAGCGAACGGACGAGAAGCUUGCUUCUCUGAUGUUAGCGGCGGACGGGUGAGUAACACGUGGAUAACCUACCUAUAAGACUGGGAUAAAUUCGGGAAACCGGAGCUAAUACCGGCUAAUAUUUUGAACCGCAUGGUUCAAAAGUGAAAGACGGUCUUGCUGUCACUUAUAGAUGGAUCCGCGCUGCAUUAGCUAGUUGGUAAGGUAACGGCUUACCAAGGCAACGAUGCAUAGCCGACCUGAGAGGGUGAUCGGCCACACUGGAACUGAGACACGGUCCAGACUCCUACGGGAGGCAGCAGUAGGGAAUCUUCCGCAAUGGGCGAAAGCCUGACGGAGCAACGCCGCGUGAGUGAUGAAGGUCUUCGGAUCGUAAAACUCUGUUAUUAGGGAAGAACAUAUGUGUAAGUAACUGUGCACAUCUUGACGGUACCUAAUCAAAAAGCCACGGCUAACUACGUG